rnacentral:rRNA from 1 species
UACGUAGGGUGCAGGCGUUAUUCGGAAUUACUGGGCGUAAAGCGUGCGCAGGCGGCUUCCUAAGUCAGAUGUGAAAUCCCCGGGCUCAACCUGGGAACUGCGUUUGAAACUGGGAGGCUAGAGUGCGGCAGAGGGGGGUGGAAUUCCACGUGUAGCAGUGAAAUGCGUAGAUAUGUGGAGGAACACCGAUGGCGAAGGCAGCCCCCUGGGCCAGCACUGACGCUCAUGCACGAAAGCGUGGGGAGCAAACAGG